GGAUGGGUGACUGAGCGGCUGAAAGUGAUGGAUUGCUAAUCCAUUAUACGGUAUCAAACCCGUAUCGAGGGUUCGAAUCCCUCCCCAUCCGCCA
rnacentral:tRNA from 1 species